AUUGAACGCUGGCGGCAGGCCUAACACAUGCAAGUCGAGCGGAUGAAGGGAGCUUGCUCCUGGAUUCAGCGGCGGACGGGUGAGUAAUGCCUAGGAAUCUGCCUGGUAGUGGGGGAUAACGUCCGGAAACGGGCGCUAAUACCGCAUACGUCCUGAGGGAGAAAGUGGGGGAUCUUCGGACCUCACGCUAUCAGAUGAGCCUAGGUCGGAUUAGCUAGUUGGUGGGGUAAAGGCCUACCAAGGCGACGAUCCGUAACUGGUCUGAGAGGAUGAUCAGUCACACUGGAACUGAGACACGGUCCAGGCUCCUACGGGAGGCCGCAGUGGGGAAUUUUUGACCAUGGGCGAAAGCCUGAUCCAGCCAUGCCGCGUGGUUGAAGGAGGUCUUCGGAUUGUAAAGCCCUUUUAGUUGGGAGGAAGGGCAGUUAGUUUAUACCUUGCUGUUUUGACCUUACCCACAGCAUUAGCACCGGCUAACUUCGUG
rnacentral:rRNA from 1 species